AAAAAAAAAAAAAAAAAAUCCAAGAUCCACUGCUAGCUUGUUCAUUUUCCAUCAGUCAGGCUGAUCGAUCUCAAUAUCCUCGCUCUAUCUAGAGUAUUGUCGUCGAUAUUUUCUAUUGGAAUUUUAUCUUCACCUGAACCCUAGAAAUUGAUCGUUCAAUAUUUGAACUCAAGCCACGGAAGCUUCAGCCACGGCUUUCAUGGCGGUUUUGGAGUCGGAUCUUCACGCCUUGUCUGCUGAAGCUCGACGGCGGUACCCCGCUGUUAAGGACGUCGCAGAGCAUGCCAUAUUAAAGCUUCGUUCAUUGUAAUUCCUAGCGAAAUUGCACAUAAUGAGUACAUUCUACUGAUUUUUUUGAUGGCUAGUAUGAUCAGAACUGUCAAGCUGAGUCUAAUUGGACUUUCAUGUCUACAAAAGCUCAUAUCCCAUGAUUCAGUUGCUCCAUCAGCUUUGAAGGAGAUACUUUUCACACUGAAAGAUCAUGCUGAAAUGGCAGAUGAGAGUGUUCAACUCAAGACCCUUCAGACUAUAUUAAUCAUAUUUCAGUCACGGUUACAUCCAGAGAAUGAGUUAUGACAAUGAAGCUGGUGAUUGUAACUUGAUGAGUUCUGAAGUCAGCAAAAUCUCAGUGAGGGUUCUUUCGACUAGAUGUGAAUAUAUCUUGAACUGAUUUCUGAUGGAUGAGAAGGACCUAGGUAUGUAGCUUAAAUUCUGUAACUUAUCUAUUAGCAAAAACAUUCCUCUCACCUUGGUUAUGCCUGUUGAACUUUGCUACUGUUCCAGCAGGCGAAAGACCGUUACCAUCAGCAAGGCUUGAAGAAAUUUUCUGUCCUUAAAGAACAGCUCAUCUAAGAAUAAAUCCGGAAACAGUAUCUGUUCUUCCGUUACAUCCCAAUUUGGGAGGUGUCCUAGCAGAUGAGGAUGAUCACAAAAAAUGUCUGCAUCUGUUUGUUCUAUUUUCUACCCUCUGCAAUCUUAUAAUAACAAGGUGAGAAAUAUCUUUGAGCAAAUUUUGUUCGGCAGAAACCUAUAAUAAUAUAAAGAUAUAAAGAGUGUAACACUAACGGAAAGUGUAGGGGAGACAUUGCUAGUAACUCUUGCAAGAGCUCACACUAAAACAUAAUCUUGUUGCCUGUUGGAUGGAGUAAUGUGUUGAUUGUUGGUUGAGAAAACGUUAGUGGUAAAUCUUUGUGGUACCAGACCUACAAAAACACUAAAGGGAUGUGGGUUUUGGAAAAGAGGAUCUGAAAGCCAAAGACGUGAGUAUAAAACAAGAAUGGAUAUCCAUGGAGUCUUAGAAGUAGCAGUUUGUUAGUGGUGAGACCAUUGAUGGCUUACUCUCAUGAACUACUUAAAGCGGAAAGCUCAAAAGCAUGUAGGCCAUGGCUAUGAAAAAUUGUUGAGUUGUAGGAUGUGAAUUCUAAAUUGAAUACCAUUGUUUUGAAACCCAGACUGGACCAGCUAGUUGAACCGCAUUAACCGGAAACUAGUCACUAGUCUGGUAUGGGUCUCACUUCAAUCCCUAUUUGAGUUAAACCCAGUCAUGAACCAGUCAAAUGGGUGGCUAGGCCAGCUACUUGGGAAGGUAAGUGGAAAUAGACCCAUGUUCAACUGGUUAUUGGUUCAAUAUAGAAAAUUUGGAAAAUGGCUAGAGGUCAAUUGUUCAACCUCACUAUUCAGAUUGAAAAAAUAGAGGUUAAUGCCACCAAGACACUAGGUAAUCAUGAUCAUCUUAGCAUCUUUUAUUUGUAUGACAAAAAUUUCUUCAAAUAUAUAUUAUUUGAGAUUAAUUUGUAAAAUCUUUAUUAUUAUAUGUUCUCAAUAGUAAAUAUAUACUUAAUUCCUGUUUGAAUGUGUUAUUUCAGUUGACCUUCUAAACCAUGACCCUCUGCCUUCUUUGGUUCAAUAACUGAACUGGUUUUGAAAAUGUUGUUCAAUACAAUGCUAGAAUUGGCAAGUUCAAAAUAAUUCAAGGAAAAAAUUAUUAGAGGCUGUAUGAUUUGACUCUUUGAAGGUUUGUAAUUGAAUAGGCUGGGGAUGGAUUUGGCUGUUAUUUAACAACAAUGCUAGAAUUGGAAAUUUCAAAAGAAUAGGGGGAAAAAGCUAUGACAAGCUGUAGAAUUUGUGAAUUGUGAAGGUUGUAAUUGAAUAGGUUGACAAUGGAUUUGUGCUUUUAUUUAAUGUCACCAUGAUGAGUGUCACAACUCACAACUAGUUGUGAAGCACAUUGCAGUAAUACACAUUCAUAUGAACACAAACGCGUGCUUGCAUGUAUGCACGACAAAAUGCACACACAUACAAGUUAACUUACAAAUUGAGAUUACAUUUGUGCGCAUGAAUGUCAUCCUUCUUGUGCAGGGAAGUUAAGAGUGACAAAGUUCGUGCAAGUGUUGCUAAGGCUCGUCGCUAAAGAACUAGUGCUUGAAAAGGUUGGUAUUGCCGGUUGAUAAAUGGAAGAAUGCAUUUUCACAAUGAUCAAGUGCAAAAUUAAAUUUGAGGGGCAUUACUUGUUUAUGGAUACAGUACAGGUGAGGAUUUUCGUUUUGCUGUCCUCCACUGUCUAGUUUAGUAUGAUAUAGGUUUGUACAUUGUGGGAUUUUGUUAUACUUGAGGCACUGAACUAGAGUGAACAUUUCAUGGGCCAGGAUGAUAAAAACAAGGUAUACAAUUAUAGGGUACAAAAGGUUUCACUGGCGGCUUGUGUGAAUUGUAGGCAUGAUCCUUGCAGCCGUGAUGUUAUAUUCUAGUGGAGAGUGAUGGUGUGAUAUUGAAAUGAUGCUACAAUUAUAAGCGAAAUAAAGUUCACUCGUUAUGUCAAAGAUCAUAAGAGGUCAAAUAUGAUUCUGUGGAUUUUAUGUUAUCUUUAACCCUAAACCAGACCCCAAAUUUGGUUAAACGAAGAGCCCUGACAGAAAUGAAAAUGAGAAGUAUAUCUUUUUUUUUUUUUAAA
rnacentral:misc_RNA from 1 species